rnacentral:rRNA from 3 species
GGGUUGUGAGGUUAAGCGACUAAGCGUACACGGUGGAUGCCCUGGCAGUCAGAGGCGAUGAAGGACGUGCUAAUCUGCGAUAAGCGUCGGUAAGGUGAUAUGAACCGUUAUAACCGGCGAUUUCCGAAUGGGGAAACCCAGUGUGAUUCGUCACACUAUCAUUAACUGAAUCCAUAGGUUAAUGAGGCGAACCGGGGGAACUGAAACAUCUAAGUACCCCGAGGAAAAGAAAUCAACCGAGAUUCCCCCAGUAGCGGCGAGCGAACGGGGAGCAGCCCAGAGCCUGAAUCAGUGUGUGUGUUAGUGGAAGCGUCUGGAAAGGCGCGCGAUACAGGGUGACAGCCCCGUACACAAAAAUGCACAUGCUGUGAGCUCGAUGAGUAGGGCGGGACACGUGGUAUCCUGUCUGAAUAUGGGGGGACCAUCCUCCAAGGCUAAAUACUCCUGACUGACCGAUAGUGAACCAGUACCGUGAGGGAAAGGCGAAAAGAACCCCGGCGAGGGGAGUGAAAAAGAACCUGAAACCGUGUACGUACAAGCAGUGGGAGCACGCUUAGGCGUGUGACUGCGUACCUUUUGUAUAAUGGGUCAGCGACUUAUAUUCUGUAGCAAGGUUAACCGAAUAGGGGAGCCGAAGGGAAACCGAGUCUUAACUGGGCGUUAAGUUGCAGGGUAUAGACCCGAAACCCGGUGAUCUAGCCAUGGGCAGGUUGAAGGUUGGGUAACACUAACUGGAGGACCGAACCGACUAAUGUUGAAAAAUUAGCGGAUGACUUGUGGCUGGGGGUGAAAGGCCAAUCAAACCGGGAGAUAGCUGGUUCUCCCCGAAAGCUAUUUAGGUAGCGCCUCGUGAAUUCAUCUCCGGGGGUAGAGCACUGUUUCGGCAAGGGGGUCAUCCCGACUUACCAACCCGAUGCAAACUGCGAAUACCGGAGAAUGUUAUCACGGGAGACACACGGCGGGUGCUAACGUCCGUCGUGAAGAGGGAAACAACCCAGACCGCCAGCUAAGGUCCCAAAGUCAUGGUUAAGUGGGAAACGAUGUGGGAAGGCCCAGACAGCCAGGAUGUUGGCUUAGAAGCAGCCAUCAUUUAAAGAAAGCGUAAUAGCUCACUGGUCGAGUCGGCCUGCGCGGAAGAUGUAACGGGGCUAAACCAUGCACCGAAGCUGCGGCAGCGACGCUGAUGCGUUGUUGGGUAGGGGAGCGUUCUGUAAGCCUGUGAAGGUGUGCUGUGAGGCAUGCUGGAGGUAUCAGAAGUGCGAAUGCUGACAUAAGUAACGAUAAAGCGGGUGAAAAGCCCGCUCGCCGGAAGACCAAGGGUUCCUGUCCAACGUUAAUCGGGGCAGGGUGAGUCGACCCCUAAGGCGAGGCCGAAAGGCGUAGUCGAUGGGAAACAGGUUAAUAUUCCUGUACUUGGUGUUACUGCGAAGGGGGGACGGAGAAGGCUAUGUUGGCCGGGCGACGGUUGUCCCGGUUUAAGCGUGUAGGCUGGUUUUCCAGGCAAAUCCGGAAAAUCAAGGCUGAGGCGUGAUGACGAGGCACUACGGUGCUGAAGCAACAAAUGCCCUGCUUCCAGGAAAAGCCUCUAAGCAUCAGGUAACAUCAAAUCGUACCCCAAACCGACACAGGUGGUCAGGUAGAGAAUACCAAGGCGCUUGAGAGAACUCGGGUGAAGGAACUAGGCAAAAUGGUGCCGUAACUUCGGGAGAAGGCACGCUGAUAUGUAGGUGAAGCGACUUGCUCGUGGAGCUGAAAUCAGUCGAAGAUACCAGCUGGCUGCAACUGUUUAUUAAAAACACAGCACUGUGCAAACACGAAAGUGGACGUAUACGGUGUGACGCCUGCCCGGUGCCGGAAGGUUAAUUGAUGGGGUUAGCGCAAGCGAAGCUCUUGAUCGAAGCCCCGGUAAACGGCGGCCGUAACUAUAACGGUCCUAAGGUAGCGAAAUUCCUUGUCGGGUAAGUUCCGACCUGCACGAAUGGCGUAAUGAUGGCCAGGCUGUCUCCACCCGAGACUCAGUGAAAUUGAACUCGCUGUGAAGAUGCAGUGUACCCGCGGCAAGACGGAAAGACCCCGUGAACCUUUACUAUAGCUUGACACUGAACAUUGAGCCUUGAUGUGUAGGAUAGGUGGGAGGCUUUGAAGUGUGGACGCCAGUCUGCAUGGAGCCGACCUUGAAAUACCACCCUUUAAUGUUUGAUGUUCUAACGUGGACCCGUAAUCCGGGUUGCGGACAGUGUCUGGUGGGUAGUUUGACUGGGGCGGUCUCCUCCUAAAGAGUAACGGAGGAGCACGAAGGUUGGCUAAUCCUGGUCGGACAUCAGGAGGUUAGUGCAAUGGCAUAAGCCAGCUUGACUGCGAGCGUGACGGCGCGAGCAGGUGCGAAAGCAGGUCAUAGUGAUCCGGUGGUUCUGAAUGGAAGGGCCAUCGCUCAACGGAUAAAAGGUACUCCGGGGAUAACAGGCUGAUACCGCCCAAGAGUUCAUAUCGACGGCGGUGUUUGGCACCUCGAUGUCGGCUCAUCACAUCCUGGGGCUGAAGUAGGUCCCAAGGGUAUGGCUGUUCGCCAUUUAAAGUGGUACGCGAGCUGGGUUUAGAACGUCGUGAGACAGUUCGGUCCCUAUCUGCCGUGGGCGCUGGAGAACUGAGGGGGGCUGCUCCUAGUACGAGAGGACCGGAGUGGACGCAUCACUGGUGUUCGGGUUGUCAUGCCAAUGGCACUGCCCGGUAGCUAAAUGCGGAAGAGAUAAGUGCUGAAAGCAUCUAAGCACGAAACUUGCCCCGAGAUGAGUUCUCCCUGACUCCUUGAGAGUCCUGAAGGAACGUUGAAGACGACGACGUUGAUAGGCCGGGUGUGUAAGCGCAGCGAUGCGUUGAGCUAACCGGUACUAAUGAACCGUGAGGCUUAACCUUACAACGCCGAAG